rnacentral:rRNA from 1 species
UACGUAGGGGGCAAGCGUUGUCCGGAAUCAUUGGGCGUAAAGAGCUCGUAGGCGGCUUGUCGCGUCGGCUGUGAAAACCUGGGGCUCAACCCCGGGCCUGCAGCCGAUACGGGCAGCUAGAGUUCGGUAGGGGAGACUGGAAUUCCUGGUGUAGCGGUGAAAUGCGCAGAUAUCAGGAGGAACACCGGUGGCGAAGGCGGGUCUCUGGGCCGAAACUGACGCUGAGGAGCGAAAGCGUGGGGAGCGAACAGG